CUCAGGAAUUAUGCAGCCUUUUGAGGUUGAGUAAUCAUGUAAAACCAUAUUACGAUUUUAAUCUAGACUCAAAACAAUCGCGCAGCCUUAAUGGAUACCAUACUGUCUCAGAAGUCAAAGCAUUUUGGAUGGUUUCCCUCAUCAUGUAUAGGUAAGAAGAGAGAGGAACGGGUAAAAGGCUCCGGUGGAAAUCAUGAGGCCACGUAGCAGAUACGAGUGUGUGGCGGUGGAUGAAUGACAAACCCCUGAAAUGUUUUCAAGCUGCUUCUCAACAAACCAUCAUAGUAAGAAGGGGAGAAUUGGUAGAAGGGGGGUAGAAAACCUUCCAAGUCCUUCUGCCCAAGGGCACCAGACAAAAGAGGAACUGUCUAUUCAAUGGAAUGCCAAGCCAUGCCGGUUGCCUCCUUUGUCCCAUAAAAGUUUUCCAUCACAAUGCGCAUUCUCCAACCCAGCCUCGCCUCUCUCCUUCUCUACGUCUGUCUCACCAAAAGAGCCCCACGUAACCCCUGACCUCUUGCUAUUCAGCUCCCCCGUUGCUCAGGAACCCCCAACAUUUGUGCUUUCU